UCUAGAAAAUAUCUAAAGUAUAACCUGCCCAAUGAUUUUUAAAUAAAAAAAUAUUAAUACAUUUUUAAUAAAAUUUAAAGGACGCAGUAAUCUUGACUGUGAUAAUGUAGCACAAUCAAUCGCCAUUUAAUUGAUGGAUAGUAUGAAUGGUCAAACGAAUAUCUCACUGUCUUAAAGAGAAGUAUAAUUAAAUUAAAAUAAUAGUUAAGAUGCUAUUUAAAAUUGUAAGACGAAAAGACCCUAUAGAGCUUAACUAUAAAUUCUUUUAAAUAUAAAUUAAAAUUUAUUAAAAAAUAGAAAUUGGUAGUUUAGUUGGGGCGACUAUCUUUUAAAUAAAACAAAGACAUGCAAAAAUAAUAAAAAUAUUUAUUGUAUAAAAUAUAUUUUUAACAAUUACCAAAGUAGGCUAUAAUGACCCGUUACAAUUUUAUAAUAAAUCUAACGAUCAAUAAAUAAAAGCUACCUUAGGGAUAACAGGAUUAUUUCAUUUUAGAGAUCUAAUCGAAAAUGAAGUUUGUCACCUCUAUGUUGAAUUAAGAUAUCCAGAUAAUGUAGAAGUUAUCAAAGGUAGGUCUGUUCGACCUUUAAAAU
rnacentral:rRNA from 1 species